rnacentral:lncRNA from 1 species
CAAUAUCAUGCAAAAGAAUUAAAAAGGAGGAACAGAAAUUUGAAAUGGUAGUGCAAGAGAAGAGCUCAAUGAGGACCACCCUGGAGAUGGAGAAAAGAUCCAAAGUCUGUGUCCAAUUAUGAGCUUCUAGGAGGAGAAUGAGUUAUAUUUAAAGGAGUUCCAAAUCAGCAUUUUAAUCUCGGCUGCUGUCCCAGAACCCUCAGACACCUGGACUGCAAGAAAAUUAAGACUUGGUGAUGUUCACAAAUGGCCCUUUUGUGAACCGGCUUUCUACACCACCCUUUAAUGCAACAAUGGGAUGAAGAGAUGAAGACUUCUAGCAGGCUACCUCAGAAAGGUUGCUGACCAAAGGCUGUGUGGACCAAAAAGUGAUAACACCACCCUGGAUGACAGGACGUUUACCUAAGGAAUUACCCUCUCUCAAUUCUUCCCAGGUGUGUGUAGUAUAGAUUAAAUAAGGCGGUUGUAUGGCAACAUAGACAUUAUUAGAAA